rnacentral:rRNA from 1 species
UACGGGGGGGGGCAAGCGUUGUUCGGAAUUACUGGGCGUAAAGGGCUCGUAGGCGGCCAACUAAGUCAGACGUGAAAUCCCCAGGCUCAACCUGGGAACUGCGUCUGAUACUGGAUGGCUUGAAUCCGGGAGAGGGAUGCAGAAUUCCAGGUGUAGCGGUGAAAUGCGUAGAUAUCUGGAGGAAUACCGGUGGCGAAGGCGGCAUCCUGGACCGGCAUUGACGCUGAGGAGCGAAAGCCAGGGGAGCAAAGCGGG